rnacentral:rRNA from 1 species
CCUACGGGAGGCAGCAGUGAGGACUAUUGGUCAAUGGCCGCAGGGCUGCACCAGCCAAGUCGCGUGAGGGAUGACGGUCCUAUGGAUUGUAAACCUCUUUUGUCAGGGAGCAAAGGGCGCCACGUGUGGCUCUUUGCGAGUACCUGAAGAAAAAGCAUCGGCUACCUCCGUGCCAGCAGCCGCGGUAAUACGGGGGAUGCGAUCGUUAUCCGGAUUUAUGGGGUUUAAAGGGUUCGCAGUCGGAAUGUCAAGUCAGCGGUAAACUUUCGGGGCUCAACCCCGUCGUGCCGUUGAAACUGGCGUUCUUGAGGGAGCGAGAAGUAUGCGGAAGGCGUGGUGUAGCGGUGAAAUGCAUAGAUAUCACGCAGAACUCCGAUUGCGAAGGCAGCAUACCGGCGCUCAACUGACGCUCAUGCACGAAAGCGUGGGUAUCGAACAGGAUUAGAUACCAGAGGAGUC